AAGAGGGGACUCGGCUCUGCAUCAGAGUGCCAGAUGGAUAGCUAGUAGUGGGUAAUGCUCACUAGCGACGACCCUAGCUGGUCUGAGAGGAUGACCAGCCACACUGRACUGAGACACGGUCCAGACUCUACGGGAGGCAGCAGUGGGGAAUAUUGCACAAUGGGCGCAAGCCUGAUGCAGCCAUGCCGCGUGUGUGAAGAAGGCUUUCGGGUUGUAAAGCACUUUCAGCGAGGAGGAAGGUGGUGAGCUUAAUACGUUCAUCAAUUGACGUUACUCGCAGAAGAAGCACCGGCUAACUCCGUGCCAGCAGCCGCGGUAAUACGGAGGGUGCAAGCGUUAAUCGGAAUUACUGGGCGUAAAGCGCACGCAGGCGGUUUGUUAAGUCAGAUGUGAAAUCCCCGGGCUCAACCUGGGAACUGCAUUUGAAACUGGCAAGCUAGAGUCUCGUAGAGGGGGGUAGAAUUCCAGGUGUAGCGGUGAAAUGCGUAGAGAUCUGGAGGAAUACCGGUGGCGAAGGCGGCCCCCUGGACGAAGACUGACGCUCAGGUGCGAAAGCGUGGGGAGCAAACACGGAUUAGAUACCCUGGUAGUCCACGCUGUAAACGAUGUCGAUUUGGAGGUUGUGCCCUUGAGGCGUGGCUUCCGGAGCUAACGCGUUAAAUCGACCGCCUGGGGAGUACGGCCGCAAGGUUAAAACUCAAAUGAAUUGACGGGGGCCCGCACAAGCGGUGGAGCAUGUGGUUUAAUUCGAUGCAACGCGAAGAACCUUACCUACUCUUGACAUCCAGAGAACUUUCCAGAGAUGGAUUGGUGCCUUCGGGAACUCUGAGACAGGUGCUGCAUGGCUGUCGUCAGCUCGUGUUGUGAAAUGUUGGGUUAAGUCCCGCAACGAGCGCAACCCUUAUCCUUUGUUGCCAGCGGUUCGGCCGGGAACUCAAAGGAGACUGCCAGUGAUAAACUGGAGGAAGGUGGGGAUGACGUCAAGUCAUCAUGGCCCUUACGAGUAGGGCUACACACGUGCUACAAUGGCGUAUACAAAGAGAAGCGACCUCGCGAGAGCAAGCGGACCUCAUAAAGUACGUCGUAGUCCGGAUUGGAGUCUGCAACUCGACUCCAUGAAGUCGGAAUCGCUAGUAAUCGUAGAUCAGAAUGCUACGGUGAAUACGUUCCCGGGCCUUGCACACACCGCCCGUCA
rnacentral:rRNA from 1 species